ACUCCUACGGGAGGCAGCAGUGGGGAAUAUUGGACAAUGGGGGCAACCCUGAUCCAGCAAUACCGCGUGUGUGAAGAAGGCCUGAGGGUUGUAAAGCACUUUCAGCGAGGAGGAAGUUAAUAUAGUUAAUAGCUAUGUUGAUUGACGUUACUCGCAGAAGAAGCACCGGCUAACUCCGUGCCAGCAGCCGCGGUAAUACGGAGGGUGCGAGCGUUAAUCGGAAUUACUGGGCGUAAAGCGCAUGCAGGCGGCCUGUUAAGUCAGAUGUGAAAGCCCGGGGCUUAACCUCGGAAUUGCAUUUGAAACUGGUAGGCUAGAGUCUUGUAGAGGGGGUAGAAUUUCAUGGUGUAGCGGUGAAAUGCAGUAGAGAUCUGAAGGAAUACCAGUGGCGAAGGCGGCCCCUGGACCAAAGACUGACGCUCAGAUGCGAAAGCGUGGGG
rnacentral:rRNA from 1 species